GGUUGGUCUGAGUGCAGUGGUGUUUACAAUUAAUUGAUCACAACCAGUUACAGAUUCCUUUGUUCCUUCUCCACUCCCACUCCCUCACUUAACCAGCCUUUA
rnacentral:Y_RNA from 1 species